ensembl:lncRNA
UUUAAGAAGGAUAACUUUACUACUCACACAGAAAUUGCAUCACUCAGUGCCCUACCUACUUCAACUGAAGUACAGCAGUGUUUCUCAAGACUAGAUCAUGGUUGGAUAUUGUAAAAAGCAUCUACCAUUUUCUAUUAGUAAUUCUCUGCUGAAAAAAAAAUUACUGUAUUAUAAACAUGAACAUGAAUCAACUAUCAGUACCUGUUUAUUUUUUAACAGUAGAAGGAUCACAAAGAACUGAAUUAAAAUAAAAGGAAUGUACAGGAGAAAGUCUUAAUUCAGAUGUCUUUAACACAUAUUAAACCAAAACUGACUUUAAGACACACUACUAAAAUCAUUAUCUGAAACUGCUCCGAGGUCUGGCAAUCACUCACAUAAGUUAGUGCUGUAACUACCAAAUUUAAUAUUGGGUCAAAAACAUAACAGAAAUAUGAAGGUAAUACUCUGCAAAGCACAUCUUUUGUAUGUGCAAACAAAACAAAGAAAGGGUGUUUUGUUUGGGGGGUUGUUGAUUCUUUUCUCUUGGAUUAAGAGUUACUGAUCUGAAAGCUCCGAGAUUGAAUGUACCUCUCAUCUCCAGUAAUGUAAGUCAUGAGGAUUCCUUAGUCUUCUGACUCAGGAACAGAUGAAAAACCUCUGAACUCCUUUUCAUCAACUGCAAAGAGCAAGAGGAAUUUCCAUUUACCCUGCUCAAAUGUGCUUUCCUUAACAUCUAAGCAUAAAUUAAUUUUCCCACUCUAAUUUCAGUGAAGCAUUAGAUACACAGAACACACACACACACACAAUUUUGUAAACUUGAGAUUCAAAGAUGUAGAGAAAAAAAGAGGUAACAAAUCAGUGUUAUUUCUGAAAGACUGAAGUGGACUGUUUAAGCACUGCCAUCUUGCUUAAGUAAUGUCAAAUGCAAGAGCAACUGGGAACAACAGUUUAAAGGUUAAUUGUUACAAUUUAUAUGAAUCAGUGCAUUCUGUUUAUGCAAGAGAGGACUAAGUGGAGUUUCAGAUCAGCACCAUAGCUAAAGAGCUGGAAGGGAAAGCUAGCUAUUGAAAAUGUGUAUGACAUUGUUGAACUGCUGCUGAAGCCUCAAAGAAUGGUUUCCUAAACAUUUACAUGCUGUCAGGCAGUCAAACUCUACUGGUAAAAGCCUUUUUUCGGUUACUGGUUAUACCAACAUCUGUGUUUAAGUCACUAGUAGAAAAGUUUAUCAGCACUUGGAAUCAAAGAGCCUUACUAGGCUUAACAAUUGGUCAAUGAAGAUGCAAGAUCCAUGAUUAAAAUGCCUACAGCAAAUUCAGAGCAAGCAGUGUUUCAAACAUGAAAUAGUAAUGCAUCACUUUAGUCUGUGCAACCGGAACAUAUUAGAAAACCGUGCUCAACCUACUUAACAUAUUGUACAAGGAGAUAAGCAAAUAGUAAAGACUUCCAAGAACCAAGUCCUCUAUUUGGCUUUAAAACAAACAAACAAACAAAAGCAUUCAGUUUAUUCACCUUCUUCUCCCUUGCUUGUAAGUAAAUGAAAAAUAAAUGCUUUUUUGCAUACCUUGUAAAACCAAUGUAAUAAUCCCUCUCCAGCAAUGUAUCUUGGAAAUGGAAUGAAACUAUCCUGAAGCUCUAAAAGCUGGUGGUAUAAUAAAUGCUAAUUAGAGCUCACCUCCCUCCUCUGCAUGCUGUUCUUCCAUAUAUUGGGAAGGUAAAAAUCUUGGAAGCUUCAAUUUCUAAUUAAUUUUAUCUUGUAAGCUUUCAAUCAGUCAUAAAUUAAUGCCUAACUCAAACUGGCGUCUAUAAAUAUAGUAAGAAAACUCAAGUCGAGCAUCCUUGCCUUCACUCUCUUCAAGGCUUCCAAAUGAGGAACUGUAUUCUUACUAUAACAUUAUUACCUUGACUAUGAUAGAGAAUCUUCCCUCUUUCAGCAAAUUGCCCAUCAGAAAGUGGAGGGUAAUCUGCUACCUAGGUACCAGCGAAGUGAGGAAAGAAAAGUUGACAUAUACUUGGAACUGCCAAUGUGCAAUUUUAAAUUUCAUCACUGAGCAGGGAAAAAGAGUCAACUGCUUUAAUCUCCAAGUCUGUAAGCUGAUCAAAAGCAUUCCCCAUGGCAACCAGAAAUGCCUUUCCUGAAAUUUUUUUAUAAGGAAAAAAGUGCACACAGCUUUUGUAAGAAUUGUGGAAAGGUUUGGGUUUAUUCAGUUUUGGAAGAAUUGGUGUUGACUUCUUUAUAUAGAACCACACACUUGAUACUUCUUCCUUUUAGAGAUGAAAGAGUUAAAUGACAACCUCUUCACAGAGAAGCCUUUUAGGCAGUUUCCACAAAGGGGCUGCUGUCCUGACAAAGUACUUAAAAAAACAUUUAAGAAAGCAGUGAUCCUCCAUCUUCCGAUAUAUACUGGAGAAUUUAAAGCAGAAUGUGGAUUUUAGCUAUACAAGCUCAAAAAAAAAAAAAA